UUAGGAAUUUUGCGCAAUGGACGAAAGUCUGACGCAGCGAUGCCGCGUGAGGGAUGAAAGCCUUCGGGUUGUAAACCUCUUUUGGUCGGAACGAAAAAAAUGACGGUACCGACAGAAAAAGCACCGGCUAACCCUGUGCCAGCAGCCGCGGUAAUACAGGGGGUGCAAGCGUUACUCGGAAUUAUUGGGCGUAAAGCGCGUGUAGGCGGUUUACUAAGUCUGGUGUGAAAUCCCUGGUCUCAAGCCAGGAAGUGCAUCGGAUACUGGUAGACUUGAGUGCAGGAGGGGGUGGCGGAAUUCCUGGUGUAGAGGUGAAAUUCGUAGAUAUCAGGAGGAACAACAGUGGCGAAGGCGGCCACCUGGACUGUAACUGACGCUUAGACGCGAAAGCGCGGGGAGCAAACAGG
rnacentral:rRNA from 1 species